rnacentral:rRNA from 1 species
UACGUAGGGUGCGAGCGUUAAUCGGAAUUACUGGGCGUAAAGCGUGCGCAGGCGGUUUUGUAAGCCAGAUGUGAAAGCCCCGGGCUUAACCUGGGAAUGGCAUUUGGACUGCAAGGCUGGAGUGUGGCAGAGGAGACUGGAAUUCCUGGUGUAGCAGUGAAAUGCGUAGAUAUCAGGAGGAAUACCGAUGGCGAAGGCAGGUCUCUGGGCUAACACUGACGCUCAUGCACGAAAGCGUGGGAGCAAACAGGAUUAGACU